CGCGUUUGAGGCGUCUCCGCCGUGCGGGUGACUUUACUGCCCACCCCGCCUCAACCCGCGGCUUGCGCGAUGCUCCGGCGGCCCUACAGUGAAAGGAGACCCCGUUUACCAAACCGCCAAGGACUUAGGCGUCAGGGAGUCUGCGAGACCCUCAUAGAGGGGAUGGCACCCCAUGGGCAGCCCACAGACACAAACGAGCAGGCAAAGAAACCCACUUUGUGACACCUUUGGUGGGAGACUGGUUGCUGCCUGAGAGCCUAGGUCUAAAAAAAGUAAGCAAGUCACUGGCCUUGUAAGUUUUCCAACUGCUGAAAAAUAAUAAUGAAAGGAGACCUGGCCCCCUCAUCUUCACCUGUUGAUUUCCAGAAUUAUCACACGAGGUUGUUAUCGUAAACACCAAAUGUUUUUAAAAUGAGGCUUAUCUUUUUAAGACUCCAAACUUCAAGAAGCAUACCCUAUGUGCCUCUCCAUGGCACUUACACUUCCAUAUAUUAGAUUAUUUUUACUUAAUCUCCAAAAGAUUGCGACCUCUUGAACCACAGGUACUAUUUCACUUGCUCUGUAGACCCCAACAACUACCAUAGCACUAUAUGUAGACUGAUCAAAUUGCCUUGAAUCUUUGGAAAGCCAGAGGCAGAAUUCUUGAAUUUCCUCAUUUUCAAAGAUCUGCCAAGAAUCUGAAACGUUAGUGUGGUAAUAGAGAAAAAAUGAAAACACUUUGUGGAGAAUUACAGAAUCAACUCUUUAUCUUCCUGAAGAGUUUGAGGGUUUCCCUACUGACAAAAAUUCUAAUUUCUUUCCUUCUGUGUAAAUGUUUUGACUCAAGUUAAAAUGUAAAUAACCAUAGAAAUCUAAUUUUGUUUGGAAUAAUGCAAUUAAUUUUCAGUGUGACCACUUUUCACACCUUUGGAGCUAGAGAAGUCCGCCUUUCAGCUUUGUUGAGUAAAAACGGUUGCUUCACUUUUAUAAGCCUCAGUUUUAUCAGCGCAAAUGAGGACAAUGGUCCACAAGUUGUUAUUAGGAUUAAAUAAGAUGAUGUAAGUAAAUGCUUAGCAGAGUAUCAGGCACACGCCUAUUCAGUCAAUAAAUAUUCACUGUGUACUAGUAGAUCUGUGUAAUCAACAUCUGUCUUUGUCUUUUGGAUCACUCACUUCGGAGAAACCAGCAGCUGUGUUGUGCAGCCCCAUAGAGAGACCCACGUGACUAUCGCCCACAGCUAAGUGAGUGAGUAGACUUGAAAGCCAACCCUCCUGUCUCAGUCACGCCUACAAAUGAUUACAGAACCAGCCAAUGCCCUAACUGCAACAGCAUGAUAGACCUGGACCCAGGACCACUUUAAGCAGCUCCUGGACUCCUCUAACUCUCAGAAACUGUAUGAAACAAAUGUUUCUUAUUUUCAGCUGCUAAUAUUUGGGGUAAUUUGUUACACAGCGACAGAUAACUUGUAAAUGUACUUAUCAUGCUCCCCAGAUGGUACUCCAAGACAGAUCUUGUUAAGAACAAUAAAUGCUCCAUUAAUGGUGGUGGUGUUGCCCUAUUAUUAUUUCUUUGGUUAUGAUAGUUAUCAUUGACAGUGAAAGUCCAAAGCGAUAGCUGAUAAGAUGGGGCCAAAUGAGAAUUCAGAGUUUUGAGCAUGUGAAUUUUAAAGGGAGACACCACCCCUUCACUAGAAUGACUAAAACACAAAAGAUUGACAGUCUCAAGUGUUACUGAAGCUAAGGAGCAACUGGAACUCAGGCUUUGCUGGUAGGGGUAUAAAAUAAUAAACACUUUUGGAAAACAAUUUUUAAGUUUUUUAUCAGCAUAUACCUGUCUUGAUGAUCCAGCCAUUCUACCCCCAGGUAGAAUGAAAUGAAAAAAAUGAAAGCUUAUUUCCAUACAAAGCCUUGUUUACAAGUGUUGGUACCAAUUUUGUUAAAAAUAGCAAAAACUAGAAACCAUCCAAAUAGUCAUCACUAGAUAAAUGAAUCCACAAAGUGUACUAUAUUGAAACAAUAGAAUAGCAACAAUAAAAAGGAAGUUUGUGCCUUUU